ACUCCUACGGGAGGCAGCAGUGGGGAAUAUUGCACAAUGGGCGCAAGCCUGACGCAGCAACGCCGCGUGUGGGAUGACAGCUUUCGGGUUGUAAACCACUUUCAGUGACGACGAAAAUGACGGUAGUCACAGAAGAAGGUCCGGCCAACUACGUGCCAGCAGCCGCGGUAACACGUAGGGACCAAGCGUUGUCCGGAUUUAUUGGGCGUAAAGAGCUCGUAGGCGGUUCCGUAAGUCGGAUGUGAAAACUCAGGGCUCAACCCUGAGACGCCAUCUGAUACUGCGGUGACUAGAGUCCGGUAGGGGAGCAUGGAAUUCCUGGUGUAGCGGUGGAAUGCGCAGAUAUCAGGAGGAACACCAAUGGCGAAGGCAGUGCUCUGGGCCGGUACUGACGCUGAGGAGCGAAAGCAUGGGAGCAAACAGGAUUAGAUACCCUGGUAGCGACUGA
rnacentral:rRNA from 1 species